AUUGAACGCUGGCGGCAGGCCUAACACAUGCAAGUCGAGCGAGCGGCGGACGGGUGAGUAAUGUAUGGGGAACUGCCCGAUAGAGGGGGAUAACUACUGGAAACGGUGGCUAAUACCGCAUACUAUCGGAUGAACCCAUAUGGGAUUAGCUAGUAGGUGGGGUAAAGGCUCACCUAGGCGACGAUCUCUAGCUGGUCUUAGAGGAUGACCAUCCACACUUGUACUGAGACACGGCCCAGACUCCUACGGGAGGCAGCAGUGGGGAAUAUUGCACAAUGGGCGCAAGCCUGAUGCAUCCAUGCCGCGUGUAUUAAGAAGGCCUUAGGUUUGUAAAGUACUUUCAGCGGGGAGGCGUUACCCGCAGAAGAAGCACCGGCUAACUCCGUGCCAGCAGCCGCGGUAAUAC
rnacentral:rRNA from 1 species